rnacentral:rRNA from 1 species
AGCGAACGCUGGCGGUAGGCUUAACACAUGCAAGUCGAGCGGGCAUCCUUGUGGUGUCAGCGGCAGACGGGUGAGUAACGCGUGGGAACGUGCCCUUCGGUUCGGAAUAACUCAGGGAAACUUGAGCUAAUACCGGAUACGUGCGAGAGCAGAAAGGUUUAUCUGCCGAAGGAUCGGCCCGCGUCUGAUUAGCUAGUUGGUGAGGUUACGGCUCACCAAGGCGACGAUCAGUAGCUGGUCUGAGAGGAUGAUCAGCCACACUGGGACUGAGACACGGCCCAGACUCCUACGGGAGGCAGCAGUGGGGAAUAUUGGACAAUGGGGGCAACCCUGAUCCAGCCAUGCCGCGUGAGUGAUGACGGCCUUAGGGUUGUAAAGCUCUUUUCUCCGGGACGAUAAUGACGGUACCGGAGGAAUAAGCCCCGGCUAACUUCGUG